UACAGAGGUGGCAAGCGUUGUUCGGAAUUACUAGGCGUAAAGGGUCCGUAGGCGGUGUGGCAAGUCGGAAGUGAAAUCUCUGGGCUUAACCCAGAGGCUGCUCCCGAAACUGCCGUGCUAGAGUGCGAGAGAGGCGAGUGGAAUUGCGGGUGUAGCGGUGAAAUGCGUAGAUAUCCGCAGGAACAUCCGAGGCGAAAGCGGCUCGCUGGAUCGCAACUGACGCUGAGGGACGAAAGCUAGGGGAGCAAACAGG
rnacentral:rRNA from 1 species